UCCUAGAUCAAGAGUUCACUACUCAUGGAAUGCUCCUGUGUAAGUCAUCAAAGUCUCCCAAACCUUCUUCACGUAUGUGGAAUGAGUUGUGCUGCUCCUGAGUUUUUUCUU